GGAAAGAGUCCAAAACAGGUUUUUAUCGUAUGCUGCUUUCCUCUUAAAAAUUGAUCAUCCCCAGCACGACUACUCUCUUCCAUUUUUAGCCUCCGCUAACAAUUCUUACAUCAAAUCUCUUCUUAAUGACUCCUCAUUGACUCACUUGACCUCCUAUCUAAAAUAUGCUCCCGAGUUACCACCCACAAUACUUGAAACCCUUCCCUUUUACAGCUACUACAUCAUCAUACGUAUUAUGGUCAUAACCAUUUCCUAUACAGAAUGCUCAGGCGACUAAGUGAGUUUACUCCUUACCACAUUUUCCAGUAAUAAGAUUUUUCUAAAUUGUUUUUUUUUUUUUUUUAUCAUAAUUUUUAUUGUAUUAAUCUAUCACAUUGUCAUAAUCAUAUUGUACACAAUCUAAUCACUGAAAACAUUGCCUGUUGAGAUGUUGUAAAAUAAAUGAUUAAAACGAAUGGAUUGAAAUAAAUCUUAAAAAGAUACUCAUAAACAUGGUUACGUAUUUCCAAAAAUACUCUGGUCUCGUUAAUCACAGAAACAUAUUUUUGGUACUAAAAUAUAAACAAAAUAAAUAACUAUGUUUUUUCGGGAGUCGAUUUUUUAUGAUCGUUUAACCGGUUGGACCGAUGGAAGAAAUCCCACCAAGCAACC